GACGUAGGGAGCGAGCGUUGUCCGGAAUUACUGGGCGUAAAGAGCUCGUAGGCGGGCCCGUAAGUCCGAGAGGAAAUCUCAAGGCUCAACUUUGGGGCUUUCUUGGAUACUGCGGUUCUUGAGGAUGAGAGAGGUAAGUAGAAUUCCCGGUGUAGCGGUGAAAUGCGUAGAUAUCGGGAGGAAUACCAGUGGCGAAGGCGGCUUACUGGCUCAUUCCUGACGCUGAGGAGCGAAAGCGUGGGGAGCAAACGGG
rnacentral:rRNA from 1 species